UCCGGCUUAUCACCGGCAGUUUCCUCAGAGUUCUCAGCAUUACCUGUUAGCAACAGAGGAUGAGGGUUGCGCUCGUUGCGGGACUUAACCCAACAUCUCACGACACGAGCUGACGACAGCCAUGCAGCACCUGUGCUCCUCCCACCCGAGGUGAAGGAGAUCAUUUCUGAUCCCCAUAGAGGGCAUGUCAAAACCUGGUAAGGUUCUUCGCGUUGCCUCGAAUUAAACCACAUGUUCCACCGCUUGUGCGGGUCCCCGUCAAUUCCUUUGAGUUUUAAUCUUGCGACCGUACUCCCCAGGCGGGAUGCUUAACGCGUUAGCUGCGCCACCGAGGACUACGUCCCCGACGGCUAGCAUCCAUCGUUUAGGGCGUGGACUAC
rnacentral:misc_RNA from 1 species